rnacentral:rRNA from 1 species
AACGAACGCUGGCGGCGUGCCUAACACAUGCAAGUCCUACGUGAAAGUUCUUCGGAAUGAGUAAAGUGGCGCACGGGUGAGUAAUGCAUAGGAACGUACCUUCGGGUGGGGGAUAACCAUGGGAAACUAUGGCUAAUACCGCGUAGUCUCGCAAGAGUAAAGGUGGCCUCUCCUUGGAAGCUACCGCCAGAAGAUCGGCCUAUGUCCCAUUAGCUAGUUGGUAGGGUAAAGGCCUACCAAGGCGACGAUGGGUAGCUGGUCUGAGAGGACGAUCAGCCACACUGGGACUGAGACACGGCCCAGACUCCUACGGGAGGCAGCAGUGGGGAAUUUUGCACAAUGGGCGCAAGCCUGAUGCAGCAACGCCGCGUGAGUGAAGAAGGCCCUUGGGUCGUAAAGCUCUUUCGGCUGGGAAGAAGGGUGUGUAGGUGAAUAAUCUGCAUAUUUGACGGUACCAGAAUAAGAAGCACCGGCUAACUUCGUGCCAGCAGCCGCCGUAA